rnacentral:pre_miRNA from 1 species
UUAGCUCAUGUUUUUAUGGAAUGGGAUCGUUUGCCUACGUUUGCCGCUAGGGGCGCUGUUCCAACUGCAUACAAAAUUGGGCUA